rnacentral:rRNA from 1 species
GAUGAACGCUGGCGGCGUGCCUAAUACAUGCAAGUCGAACGCGCAGCGAGAGGUGCUUGCACCUUUCAAGCGAGUGGCGAACGGGUGAGUAACACGUGGAUAACCUGCCUCAAGGCUGGGGAUAACAUUUGGAAACAGAUGCUAAUACCGAAUAAAACUUAGUAUCGCAUGAUAUCAAGUUAAAAGGCGCUACGGCGUCACCUAGAGAUGGAUCCGCGGUGCAUUAGUUAGUUGGUGGGGUAAAGGCUUACCAAGACGAUGAUGCAUAGCCGAGUUGAGAGACUGAUCGGCCACAUUGGGACUGAGACACGGCCCAACUCCUACGGGAGGCUGCAGUAGGGAAUCUUCCACAAUGGGCGCAAGCCUGACGGAGCAACGCCGCGUGUGUGAUGAAGGCUUUCGGGUCGUAAAGCACUGUUGUAUGGGAAGAAAUGCUAAGAUAGGGAAUGAUUUUAGUUUGACGGUACCAUACCAGAAAGGGACGGCUAAAUACGUGCCAGCCGCCGCGGUAA